GACUCGGUAGCUUAGUUGGUAAAGCACUUGUCUAGCGAGUGAGGGUGGUGAGUUCAAAUCUCACCUGGACUG
rnacentral:tRNA from 1 species